GCCGGGCGUGGUGGCGGGCGCCUGUAGUCCCAGCUACUCGGAGGCUGAGGCAGGAGAAUGGCGUGAACCUGGGAGGCGGAGCUUGCAGUGAGCCGAGAUCGCGCCACUGUACUCCAGCCUGGGUGACACAGCGCGAGACUCCGUCUCAAAAAAAAAAAAAAAAAAAAAACUAAGAGACAGGGAUCUCACUCUGUUGCCCAGGCUAGAGUGCAGUGGUGCGAUCAUGGCUCACUGCAGCUUCAACCUCCUGGGCUCCAGUGUUUCUUCCACCUCAG
rnacentral:SRP_RNA from 1 species